rnacentral:rRNA from 1 species
CGCGUAGGCGGUUUUGUAAGUCGGAUGUGAAAUCCCCGGGCUUAACCUGGGAACUGCAUUCGAUACUGCAUAACUAGAGUAUGGUAGAGGGAAGUGGAAUUCCGGGUGUAGCGGUGAAAUGCGUAGAUAUCCGGAGGAACACCAGUGGCGAAGGCGACUUCCUGGGCCAAUACUGACGCUGAGGUGCGAAAGCGUGGGAGCAAACGA